rnacentral:tRNA from 1 species
AUCUUUCUAGUAUUAGGUAGUAUAAGUGACUUCCAAUCACCAGGGCUUGGUUAAAUUCCAAGGAAAGAUA